GAUGAACGCUAGCGGCAGGCUUAAUACAUGCAAGCUGAACGGCAAGAUUUGUAGCAAUACGAGUCCUAGAGUAGCGUAAGGGUGCGUAACACGUAUGCAAUCUGCCCGCAACAGGAGGAUAGCUUAGCGAAAGUUGAGAUAAGACUCCAUAAGAUCACGAGAGGGCAUCUGAUUGUGAUUAAACUACAAGGGGUUGCGGAUGAGCAUGCGUCUGAUUAGUUAGUUGGCGGGGUAACGGCCCACCAAGACGAUGAUCAGUAGGGGAACUGAGAGGUUGGUCCCCCACACUGGC
rnacentral:rRNA from 1 species